AGGUGGCUUUCGCUGAGUAAAGAAGAAGCAGAAGAAGUAGAAGACGAAGAAUUAGGAUAGCGGCAACCGAUGGGGCCCAACGGAACUCGCGGGCACCGCGAAGACUGUAUACACACACGUGCGAAAUGAACACGCAUGCAUUCGCUGUAUAAGGGCAUGUGUUAGUAACAUGUCAUUAAAUCGAAAGCACUUGCCAGGAAGAGGCAGUGGCCACCUGAUGCUCGACGUGGCUGAGCCCUGGGCCUGGGGUGCCUUAUUCUUUCUUUGCAACGGCCGACGCGUUGCGUGAUUCGGGGGGUUGCCUUGUGAUGGAUCCACCAGAUCAAUAGAUCGAUAACGAGAAAUGCAGCACUGACGAGCUAUCUUGUUUUUCGGUAAAUCGCUUGGAAUUUCGUGGAUAUGUUACAGGCUCGCAAGGUAAACUUACUCGACACUUUUAAGAAGUUUUGGUCUGAAUUCUUUUUCUUGAAGUAUCCAUGAAUGUGGCAAAUGGGCCUUAUCCCUCAAGGGGGUGGUGUCUCAAGAGGACGACGGUUAAAAGUCGUUCGGGGCCUGCGUGGGACCUUCAGGUGGACGUGAAACUUUUUAGUUAGGACUCAAGGCGCUGGGGUGCACCUGCUAUACACCUGUUGGCCGUUGCGGUGGCAUCCUGGACGAUGAGAACGACUUCUAGGCUGUUCUUCUGCUGCUGCUGUUGCCAGUCCCAUAUUCCCAUAUGAUAUCGAGCUCUCGUUCGAUACAAAAACCUCAAAGGCACUCUAAAAAUGAUUCACCAAACGAAUCUACGAUUCGAAUAGAGAAAUAUAAAGCAAUAAUAAAAUCCUGC